CCGGAAGGAACAUAUGAAUCGAAGUCAAAGGCCUUGAGUCCUAAACAAACGAUUUUGGCGCAAAAAUUCACAUUUUACUAGUUGAAGCUAGCAAAGACUGACGCCAACAUGGAAAGCAAAUGUGACAUUUCUUCAUCCUCGAAAACAUUCAACAAAAUCUAACAAGGGGGCGAUGUUUUACAAGCACAUCAGACACUCCACUCAUCACAGCAUCACAGCGCUCUCCUUCCAGCUCUAAGUGAGACUCGACUACACCCC
ensembl:lncRNA